CCUACGGGUGGCAGCAGUGAGGAAUCUUUGUCAAUGGGCGCGAGCCUGAACCAGCCAAGCCGCGUGAAGGAUUACUGCCCUACGGGUUGUAAACUUCUUUUAUAAAGGAAUACAGUGAGACACGUGUGCCUUUUUGUAGGUACUUUAUUAAUAAUGAUCGGCUAACUCCGUGCCAGCAGCCGCGGUAAUACUGAGGAGCCGAGCGUUAUCCGGAUUUAUUGGGUGUAAAGGGCGCGGAGAGUGGUUGUUAAGUCCGUUGUGAAAGUUUGGGGCUCAACCGUAAGAGUGCAAUGGAUACUGGCAGCCUUGAGUAAAGUUGAGGUAGGCGGAAUUCGUGGUGUAGCGGUGAAAUGCUUAGAUAUCGCGAAGAACACCGAUUGCGAAGGCAGGUUACUGGACUGCCACUGACGUUGAGGCACGAAAGUGUGGGUAUCGAACAGGAUUAGAUACCCGUGUAGUC
rnacentral:rRNA from 1 species